rnacentral:lncRNA from 1 species
GGCCGCCCCCGGCGCCGCGCGGGAAACGCUGGCGGCCGCUCGUACCCUACCAGGCGCUCUGCCCCGCCGUGGGGUUUUGGGGGUGCUGUGGAGAAGGCAGGGCUCGGGACUCUUCCACCUCCUUGGCUGCUCUGGCCUUUGAGUUAUGCUCUAAGAUUAUCGAUUACUUUUCCGUUGUUGCUUAUUUCCCACAGCAGCAGAAUGAGAACGGUUAUUAGUUAAUAGCCAUCAGAGACAGACCAAGUGGAACACAGUCCUCGGAAAAACGCCACUCUGUAGCAUUAGUAAUUAAAACCUCACAAGGUUUGUAUUUCCUGAAGGAGGCCGUCAGUGUCAAUGCUGUACUAACGACGGUACUGUACGUAAGUUUCGGUACUGCCCCCACUUUCUUCUCCUUGACAUUGUAUUACUAAAAGCUGCAGCUACUCUCUACAGUUUUCUCAUUGGUUACUAAUGUCUGGAACAGCAGCUAGAUUAUGCAGUAAGCUCUUGACUUCUCAGUCCUUUAUGUGGAGCUGGGGGCAGGAAGAAUUGCUUCUGGAAGCUGAUGGAGUUGGACAUGUGGCUUUCUAGAAUCUGGAUGUGAUGGUGCAGGAAAAACUCCUGCCCAUUGAGAGGGCUCCGUAAGUGCUUCCCAAAAGAGAAUGAGAAGGAAAAGGAGAUCUCCACAGGAACUGCCUCCUUGGAUCCAGGGCAAAAAUGAACCUCCUAUUGGAGAGAAGUGCCCAGCUUGUCAAGAAGUUGAAUCGGUGCAACCAGCGUUUGUGAAAGCAGCAUUUCCCAUUUCACAUAAAGUCAGCUUCUGGCCAACUGGACAAGUCUGAACAAAUAUGAAACCCACUAAAAGGCCAGUGACAGGUGCACACACUACUGACUCUGGCUAGAGGCUGUGGCAGGAAUUGGACUCAUGUCAUCCAGCGACAGUUCCACCAGCAUCUCUUGUGGCUUCCCAAGGACCAGCCUGAGGCAAACUCCUCAGUGGUGUGAAGACUUUCCAUGUCACUGGAAACCCACCACAGAGUUCUACCAAGUAACCAUGCCUCCACCAGUCCACAACAAACUUUUAAGGCCUCUCCAGUUAUGCCUGCAACCAUCCCACAUUAGCAACCUAAGUAGGCCACCAGUAGAGCUGGUCAAGAGAAAGGAUAGGUUCAAUUAAUUAUUUUUUAAUUAAAAAAAAAUAGAGACAGGGUCUUGUUAUGUUGCCGAGGCUGGUCUUGUACUCCUGAGCUGAAAUUAUCUUCCCGCCUCAGUCUCCCAAAGUGCUGAGAUUACAGGUGUGAGCCACCGUACUCAGCCAGAUAGAUUCAAUUUUUAAAACUUUAUUGCCAUUACUGUUCAGUAACCCCUUGAUAUGGUUGAAUAUUUGUCCCCUCCAAAACUUAUGCUGAUAUCUAAUCCCCAAUGUGACACUAUUGAGAGCUGGGGCUUUUAAGAUGUGAUUAGGUCAUGAGGGCUCCACCUUCUGAAUGGAUUAAUCCAUUCAUGGAUUAAUGAGUUCAUGGGUUAAUAGAUUAAUUUAUCUUGGGAGUGGGAUUAGUGGUUUUAUAAGAAGAGUGAGACCUCAGCUAGCAUAUUAGCACUCAGCUCCCUUGGCAUGUGAUACCACCUUGGGACUCUGCAGAGAGUUCCACCAGCAAGGCCUGUACCAGAUGCAGCCCCUUGACCUUGAACUUUUCAGCUUCCAGAACUGUAAGAAAUAGGCCAGGCAUAGUGGUUUACACCUGUCAUCCCACCACUCUGAGAGGCCAAGGCCAGUGGAUUGCUUGAGCCCAGGAGUUUGAGGCUUCAGUGAGCUAUGAUCAUGCCAUUGCACUCCAACCCAGCCUGGGCAACAGAACAAAACUCAGUCUCAAAAAAAAAAAAAAAAAAAAAAAAAAAAAAAGAAGAAGAAGCCAGAUACAAAAGAAUACAUUCUGUAUGACUCCAUUUAUUAGAAGUUCAAGGCCAGAUGUAGUGGCUCACACCUGUAAUCCUAACACUUUGGGAGGCCAACACAGGAAGAUCACUUAAGCUCAGGAGUUUGAGACCAGCCUGGGCAACAUAGUGAGACUCCAUGUCUAUUAAAACAAAAAAGUUCAAGGAGAAUCCAAAUUAAUGGAUGUGGAUAGAAAUCAAAGUGGCGAUUCCUCUUCAGAAGUGAAGACUGACUGAUAGGAGAAAUGAGAGAACUUUCUGAGUGAUGAAGGUGUUUUAUAUCUAGAUUGGAGAGUUGGUUACACAAGCGUAUAUAUUUGUCAAAAGUCAUCAAAUUGCACACAUAUUAUUUCACAGUAUGUAUGUUUUACCUUAAAUAAAAAUGUUUUGGCCAGGCACAGUGGCUUACACCUAUAACCCCAGCACUUUGGGAGGCCACAGCAGGAGGAUCUCUUGAGCACAGGAGUUUGAGACCAGCCUGGGCAAUAUAGUGAGCCCUCAUCUCUACUAAUGAAAUAAAAUAAAAUAUAACAUAAAAUAGCCACGCGUGGUGAUGCAGGCCUGUGGUCCCAGCUACUCAGGAGGUUGGGGUAUGAGGACCGUUUCAGCCUGGGAGGUCAAGGCUGCAGUGAACUGUGAUGAUGCUACUGCAUUCCAGUCUGAGUGACACAGUGAGACCCUGUCUCCAGAAAUAAAACAAGACACAACAAAAAAAGUGUUGUAUACUUUUUUUUUUUAAUUUAGAAGAGAAGAGCCAGGCACAGUGGCUCACGGCUGUAAUCCCGACACUCUGGGAGACCAAGGCAAGAGGACUGCUUGAGCUCAG